rnacentral:rRNA from 1 species
CAAUAGCGUAUAUUAAAGUUGUUGCAGUUAGAACGCUCGUAGUCGGAUUUCGGGGCGGGCCGACCGGUCUGCCGAUGGGUAUGCACUGGUCGGCGCGUCCUUCCUUCCGGAGGCCGUCCCUACUCUUAACUGAGCGGGGGCGGGAGACGGGACUUUUACUUUGAAAAAAUCAGAGUGUUUCAAGCAGGCAGCUCGCUCUUGCAUGGAUUAGCAUGGGAUAAUGAAAUAGGACUUUGGUGCUAUUUUGUUGGUUUCGAACACCGAAGUAAUGAUGAGAAGGGACAGUCAGGGGCACUCGUAUUCCGCCGAGAGAGGUGAAAUUCUCAGACCAGCGGAAGACGAACCACUGCGAAAGCAUUUGCCAGGGAUGUUUUCACUGA